AUAUUUGAAAUUUAAAUAUUUAAGAAAAAAAAACUAACUUAAUCCUACAUUUGACUAGGAAAUAAUAUAACAAAUUUAUUGAAUAAAACAAAAGAGGAAAUAAAUUUGAGAAAUUAGUGGAAUCAGUUCAACACCCCCUGUCAAGUUAGAGAGGGAAUUGAAAUGUCAAGAACACCCAACUUACGAAGUAGUCGAAAAUGAGUGUCGCCUCCAAGAGAUUUGGUAAAGAUAUCUACCAGUUGGUCUCUAGAACAAAUAUAUGAUGGAGUAAGGAGCCCUUGUUGUAUUUUUUCUCGAACAAAGUGACAGUCAAUCUAAAUAUGUUUAGUGCGUUCGUAAAAAAUUGGAUUUUCAGCAAUAUGAAUUGUAGCUUGGCUAUCACAAGGACUGUAAUGGGUUGAGAAUGAGUGAUACCAAGGUCUGUAAGAAGGUAUUUCAACCAUUGCAAUUCAGAUUAAAGUGCAACAAGCGAGCGAUAUUUCGUUUCUACGGACGAACGAGAAACAAUUGGUUGUUUCUCGGUAUUCCAAGAAAUAGGAUUAGAACCUAACAAGGUAAAAUAACUAGUGGUGGAUCGACGUAUGGUAGGACAACUAGCCCAGUCAGAAUCAACAUAUCCAACAAGAUUAAGGGAGCUUGAUGCAGAAAGAAUAAUCCUUUACCAACAGUACCUUUAAGAUAACGAAGAAAUCUAUUUGUAGCAUCAAGGUGACUGGAAUAAGGAGAUUGCAUAAAUUGACUAAGUGUGUUGACUACAUAUUGGAUGUCUGGUCGGGUGACAGUGAGAUAUAAAAGACGACCCACCAGUUGACGAUAAAUUGUCGGAUCAGAAAGUGGAGCACCAAUUGCUGGUUGCAAGCAAAGAUGUUGUUCCAUAGGGAAAUCUAAUGGUUUUGAACUUGUCAUACCAGAAUUAGAUAAAAUGUCAAUGGUAUAUUUUCUUUGACAUAGAAAAAUACCUUCCUUAGAUCGUGACACUUCAAUACCUAAAAAAUAUUUAAGAGUGCCAAGAUCUUCAAUAAAAAAAGAUUGAGCCAAAAAAUUUUAAAUUUAGAAAUGGCAGCAUCGUUGUUGCCAGUGUUAAUAAUAUCAUCAACAUAGACAAGCACAAAAAUUGAUGUGGGACCGUGAAUAUAUGUGAAAAGACUAUAGUCUGAAAUGGAUUGUUUAAAACCAUGACUAAUGAGUGUGUUUGAGAAUUUAGAGAACCACUGUUGAGAUGCUUGUUUUAAACCAAAAUAGAUUUAUUUAAUUUACAAGCAUCUCGACAGUGAAUAUAUUUGGACUAUAUGGGUAACCAAUAUGUAGUCUUUUUAAACAAUCCAUUAUGGACGCGUCAAGAGCAAUCGGGGACAAAGUUACACCUUGCCGAUGACGAAAUCAGCAUGAACGUCGGCGACCAUGUUCUGAGCCGUUCUAAGGAUCUUGUUCUCAACAAGGAAACACAUUGAGGUGCUCGAGGUAGCAAGUGUGGUCUUAGCAACUGAGGUAAGGGUAAGGCUAAGCAGUGAGAUUGAAGAGCUCGAGACGUGGACUGCAUGUUAGGGGGCUGGCGCAGUAUUUUACUUUUAAUGUUUUUUUAAAUGUUAAAAAUUGGGGAUUCGUUAUUUUGAUCUAACUAGUUCUUAUUUAAGUUUACGAUAUCAAAAAUAUUUUUGUUUUAAACAGUGAGAUCUCAUGCUUAGAUAUUUUUCAAUAAAAAAGUAUUUUAUUGUCUUUAUCUUAUUAAACUGUUUUAUACGGACUAUCCUGUGUGACAUCUCAGGAAAUUGGGGUGUUACAAUAUGGUAUCAGAGUAACACGGUCCUAAAGAAUGUGGUUAGCCCUAACAUGUAAAGUUCACCGCCAUGAGACGAGCUCGACUCACUGUAUUGAGUUUAGAAAUGCCUCCUAGAAGGUCAAUCAGAUUGGGUCGAGGUCGAGGUUGAGAUCGAGGCCAAGGCCAAGGCCGAGAUAGAGGCCAAGAUGAUGGAGGGAUCAAUGAACCACCUCAAGCACCACAGCGAUGGGAAGAGUGCCUUGCUGCACUGGAAGGAACCAUUUGUAGGCCAAAUGAAGAACUUUGUCAACUGAGACAUCAACCGGAGCCGCUAGUUCAAAUAAGGCCGCCAGAGCCAGAAAAUAGAGACCCACCAGCUACGGUGGUAUAUCCUGCUACAAAGGCUAGACAUGAGAUGUUAGUAGAGAGAUUUUGAAAACAACACCCACCUGAGUUUGAGGGAGGCGUAGAGCCAGUGGUGGCUGAAGAAUGGAUGAGUCGCAUAGAAAGUAUUUUGCAGAUGCUAAGGGUUGAUGGGAAUGACCGAGUGAAGUGUGCAUCAUACAUUCUGAGGAAAGAUGCUUGUAUCUGGUGGGAGGUGGUGGAGCAAACGAAGGAUGUGGAUACCAUGAACUGGAAUGAUUUCAAAGGGUCUUUAAUGAGAAAUAUUAUAACUCACCAGUUCUAGCAGCAAAGGUCGAUGAAUUUACUGGAUUAGUCCAAGGGAGCCUUAAUGUUACAGAGUAUGCACAAAAAUUUGAUAGACUGGCGAAAUUUGCUCCAGAUCUGGUACCUACUGAUAGAGUGCGAGCACAUCGAUUUGUGGAAGGCUUGAAACCAAUGAUUGCUCGAGAUGUGGAAAUUGUGUCAAGGGGUCAAUUCAGUUAUGCUCAAGUUGUCGAAAUGGCUCUUACGGCUGAGCGGAGUGAAAACAAAAUUUUGAAGGAAAAUGCUGCCAGGAGAGAAUCUAAGAAAGGUGGAGCCAAUUCUAAUGACCACAAGAAAAAUGGACAAUAUUAGUCCAGUCACUCAAGUCAAGACAAGAGGUACAAAACUAAUAACGACCAACGAUCUAAUGGUAACAGUGGGCGAAACAUUCCAGAAUGCUCUAAAUGUACCAAACGUCAUCUCAGCGAGUGUCGCGCAAAAGCAUGCUACAAAUGUGGAAAGAAAGGACAUAUCAAACGCAGUUGCCCAUUGUGGGGACAGACUGGGAACAAAGCAGAACCCAAGAAAGAUGACAAGUAUGUUUCAGCCAGAGUUUGGGCCAUCACUCAAGCAGAAGCUGAGGCCAGUCCUUCGGUUGUAUCGAGUCAGAUACCUAUGGCCAACACCACUUGUAAAGUUUUGUUUGAUUCUGGUGCAUCUCAUUCUUUUAUUGCUAGCACAUUUGUUAAUCAUAUAAAUGCACCAAGUUAAUUAUUUAUUGUAGGAUUUGGGACCAUGUUACUAGUUUGGGAGGUUGUAAUCUCUAGAAAUUGGCUUAGGGGUAUACCUGUUAGGAUAAAUGGUAGGGAAUUAUUUGUAGACCUGAUUGUAUUAGAUUUAUUUGAUUUUGAUGUAAUCUUGGGCA